rnacentral:rRNA from 1 species
GAUGGACGCUGACAGAAUGCUUAACACAUGCAAGUCGACCUGACUUUGGGUUUUUAACUUCGGUUUGGGUGGCGGACGGGUGAGUAACGCGUAAAGAACUUGCCUCACAGCUAGGGACAACAUUUGUAAACGAAUGCUAAUACCUAAUAUUAUGAUAAUAGGGCAUCCUAUAUUUAUGAAAGCUAUAAGCGCUGUGAGAGGGCUUUGCGUGCCAGUAGCUAGUUGGAGAGGUAACGACGCACCAAGGCGAUGAUGGGUAGCCGGCCUGAGAGGGUGACCGGCCACAAGGGGAUUGAGACACGGCCCUUACUGCUACUGGAGGCAGCAGCGAGGAAUAUAGGACGAUGGACCGAGUGACUGAUGAAGGAAUUCUGAGUGCACGACGCAGUUAUUCGGAAUGUAAAGUGGUUUCAGUUGGGAAGAAACAAAUGACGGUACCAACAGAAGAAGCGACGGCUAAAUACGUG